rnacentral:rRNA from 1 species
AGCUCCAAGAGCGUAUAUUAAAGUUCUUGCAGUUGAAAAGCUCGUAGUUGGAUUUCUGGUACAACGCGCCUGGCCCGCUUUUGUGAGUGCCGGUGCGCGUUUGCCAUCCUUCUAGAAAACGUUUCUACCCGGGUAACUGGGCCGGACUCGCGAUCUAGAUCUUUUACUUUGAAAAAAUUAGAGUGUUUAAAGCAGGCUUUUGCUGUGAAUACAUUAGCAUGGAAUAAUGAUCUAGGACUUCGGUUCUAUUCUGUUGGUUUCUAGUACUGAAGUAAUGAUUGAUAGGGAUAGUUGGGGGUGCUAGUAUUGGCCGGCCAGAGGUGAAAUUCUUGGAUUCGGUCAAGACUAACCUAUGCGAAAGCAUUCACCAAGAAAGUCUUCU